rnacentral:rRNA from 1 species
UACGUAGGGUGCAAGCGUUAAUCGGAAUUACUGGGCGUAAAGCGUGCGCAGGCGGUUUUGUAAGUCAGAUGUGAAAUCCCCGGGCUUAACCUGGGAACUGCGUUUGAAACUACAAGGCUCGAGUGUGGCAGAGGGGGGUGGAAUUCCACGUGUAGCAGUGAAAUGCGUAGAGAUGUGGAGGAACACCGAUGGCGAAGGCAGCCCCCUGGGUUAACACUGACGCUCAGGCACGAAAGCGUGGGGAGCAAACAGG